rnacentral:rRNA from 1 species
GACGAACGCUGGCGGCGUGCUUAACACAUGCAAGUCGAACGGCAAGGCCCUGCUUUUGUGGUGUGCUCGAGUGGCGAACGGGUGAGUAACACGUGAGUAACCUGCCCUUGACUUUGGUAUAACUUCAGGAAACUGGGGCUAAUAUCGUAUAGGAGCUCCUGUUGCAUGGUGGGGGUUGGAAAGUUUCGGCGGUAGGGGAUGGACUCGCGGCUUACCAGUUUGUUGGUGGGGUAGUGGCUUACCAAGGCUUUGACGGGUAGCCGGCCUGAGAGGGUGACCGGCGACAUUGGGACUGAGAUAGGGCCCAGACUCGUACGGGAGGCAGCAGUGGGGAAUAUUGCACAAUGGGCGGAAGCCUGAUGAAGCAACGCCGCGUGCGGGAUGACGGCCUUCGGGUUGUAAACCGCUUUCGCCUGUGACGAAGCGUGAGUGACGGUAAUGAGUAAAGAAGCACCGGCUAACUACGUG